rnacentral:pre_miRNA from 1 species
UUAAUUUAAAUCAUUAUGUAUUUACACUUUGAAAACAGAAAUCACACAAAGUGGUGAUAGAUACAUUGAUUUCAUCCAA